rnacentral:misc_RNA from 1 species
AACGGUCUAUACCUGCGGUACCUGCGGAAGGAUCAUUAUCAAUUUACAGCGGACUUCGGUCCUGUCUGCACCCUUGUCUUUUGCGUACUAUAUGUUUCCUCGGUGGGCUUGCCUGCCGAUAGGACACUUAUAAACUCUUUUGUAAUUGCAAUCAGCGUCAGAAGACUAUAAUAGUUACAACUUUCAACAAUGGAUCUCU